AACUGGUCCGUUAAAGCACUAUUCUCAAAUGCCAAAGACUUUAUCUUAUCCACCAACUUUCAUACAUAGGAUAACGUCUUCAAUGGUAACAGAGUUAACAACUCCAAUGGUAACAGAGAUUACAACUCCAAUGAAGACAGAACUUUCAUCACCAAUGUUUCCAGGAUCCUCUGAGAUUGUUACUAUUGCUAAAACGUGCGACGAGGAUACAUUAGACUUUUCAGUUUCAGUUGAAGUCUUUGCAGCCACAUUGACUUCUUAAUUAUUGUUUAUGAAUUUUAUCAUCGUUAUAUUAGUUAUCUACUUUAGAUCAAAACUAGGAUUGUUAAAGUCUGAUGUAACACAGAAUUCCAUCAACACAGUGGAACACAACCGAUAUCUGGCCUUCAAUAGAGAAACUAUUGCUGAACCAGGAUAUUCCAGCCUUAGAAUACCUGAUUAUCUUGAACUGUACUGAUGUCAUUAUUUGUGACAUUUGAUUUAUUUGAAAUAAUUGAGGAGGCAAAUGAAAAAUAUCCGUUUAAUUUAAGACUUUUUGUAUCAUGAUCGUUAACACGUAUGAUUGCAAUUAAAUUUCCCUUUACUCAGCAAAAGA